rnacentral:rRNA from 1 species
UACGAAGGGGCGUAGCGUUGUUCGGAAUUACUGGGCGGUAAAGCGCACGUAGGCGGACUUUUAAGUUCAGAUGUGAAAUCCCCGGGGCGUCAACCUCGGAACUGCAUUUGAAACUGGAAGUCUGGAGUUCAGGAGAGGUUAGCGGAAUACCGAGUGUAGAGGUGAAAUUCGUAGAUAUUCGGUGGAACACCAGUGGCGAAGGCGGCUAACUGGACUGAUACUGACGCUGAGGUGCGAAAGUGUGGGGAGCAAACAGGAUUAGAUACCCGCGUAGU